GUACAUACACUGUAAAAACAGGGUGGUGACCGUCACUACCAAAUGUGGUGAUGGUCACUACCUAAGCGAAUCACUACAUGGUGGUGAUUUAUGUAUGUGGUGAUCCUCACUACCAAUCUCAGUGACGGUCACUACCUAAGUCCUUCACCAACAUAGCUCAAUACCAACUGUGGUGACGGUCACUACCAAAGUCCUUCACUACAUUCAACCUCCGCGAUGACUCCUAGAUCCUAAGUCCUUCAUCACAGUGUGCAUGCAGUGGUACCUCUCACUUAACUUACUGUUCCCUGUACCUUCUCCUGUGUGUGUCACAGCUCCAUUAAUUAUUAUUUUAUAGAUAGGCAUGCAGCAUGCAAUGUGAUACUUUUAAUAUUUCAUGGUGAAAGUCACAAGUUGUCAUUUUUACGGUCUAUCCUGCUACCGUCGAAGACCAAGUCAGAAGAAUACAACGAACUAUAAAAUAAUAUUCUAUAUCAGUGUAUGACGACUGUUUGGUCGGCUACUUACAAUUAUACGAUAAUGUAAUGGUGUCUUUUUAAUAUCCACCACUGACUGUAAACUUGAAACAACAUGAAGUUUUACCCAACACACUUGCGGUACACAAUUAUAAUAUUGUUCUUGUAUAGCUACAAUUGCUCCUCCCCUAACAAUGAUGACAAACUGGGACAUAAAUAAUACACUAUUCCCGACCACUCCCAACAGGUACAGACGUAAGCUUUGGUUGUAACUUUAAGGCAAUCAGCAUCAAUAAUAAUUAUGCCGUUAAAUCUAAGGGAGUGACAAACUCAAGCAGAUGCUUGAUGGAUCUAGUUUGCUGACUAAGUAUAAAGGCUGCAAAGAGGCCCCAUGGUGCCCUGAUAUCUCACUAAGCUUUUUUGCCUGAGCAGCAUUCCAUAUUCUGCAAUAAAAGAGAAGCAUGAGAUUAUCAAUCCAUAGACGUAUAAUGUUACUGCUAGCUUGAACAGUUACAAUGGCAUAUCUGCAUUCAUAUUAAGGCCAGUACACAAUAAUAAGAUUUUACCAAACAAAAUAAUUAACAAUUGAUUCACACACGUAUUUACAAAUACAAUUACUAGUUGAAGCGAUGUAUUAAUUGUGUAACAUCUUUGAAAAGAGGUUUCUGUACCUGGUCGAUCAACACGCAACACGACUUACUGCUAACCCGUACCAGGUAGAUCUAGAUUUAGUGGUCUAUUUUACAGAAACUGAGUCACCAAGACAUAGUCAACACGCAACCCGGCUUACUGUUAACCAUAAUUGCCUCAGUAAAACAGUUCAUGGAAUGCUUUUACUAUAAGAUGUUACACGACAUCAACAUGCUCCAUAUCUAAGCUACAUGAUUCAACACUAUUCAUCCACACACUACUAUUCCUUAUCCUUUGGUAGCAGCAAUAUAAGACUGCCAAAUGCCUUUCCUUGUCACUGAAUUGAACUGUAAUAGGAAGAUCUAGUUAGCUUGCUAUAGCUCCUUCCAUGUCCAUAUCUUCACUUGCGCGCUCUUGUUUGUUGAAUAGACCUAUGACCAAAUAAGGGCACGUGCAAUUAUGCAGCUGCAGAUUUGCAGCUGCACACAUCAACAAAAAUUAUUUGCUGGAGUUUUUAAAGAAGCAGACAAGUUGAGCUUUUAGAGAACGCUUUGAGAGUUGUUUGACAAAACUGUGUAACUAGAACCGAAUUUCUCCUGAAGGACAAGCAAAGCACAAGUAAACACUUCAUUAGGGCUUAAACAAGGGAAGACCAAAGCCCAUUGCCCUAAGCUUCGUUCAGCAUGCACAACACAAGAUAUGAAGUUAAAAAAAACGUGUGGAGCAACCAUACUACUGGACACCCUUAAGUAUAGACAUAAAUCAAGGAGGAGGGAGGAGGUUGGGAUGUAAAGACAGCCAAGAACUGAUGAUCAACUCAGGCCAUUAGACACUGUCAUUUUAUACUCUGUUAGGCUAGUAAGCAUAAUGCUUGUUAUUAUUUUCUGUGCACAUUUUCAGAAUUUUUGUAUAGUGAUUUUUACUAGUUCUGGUGAUGUUCACUACCUAAAUGUAGUGAUCGUCACUACUUAAA